UCCGAGGAGCCUGCCUGAGAUUCUCUCUCUUUGCCCCUCCUGCCCCCUCCCCACGCUCCCCCCCAUGCCCCAGCUUGCACGUGCGCGCUCUUUAAAAAAAAGAAAGAAAGAAAAGAAAAGAAAAAGAAGGGAAGGGGGGAGGGAAGGAAGGGAGAAAAGGGAGACUUAAAAUGUGUCCACUCUGGAAGUCAGACCUCUGCCCCUGCCCUGCCUGGGGUUUGGUGUUGUUGCUCUUUGUUAAGUGACUUUUUCUAGGUUAGUUUUCAAAAGUUUAUUUCCUUUGUAGUAUGAGGCCACUUAAGUCCCUAUUCAGCUGGCUUGGAGAUCAGAUCACCUAAUGAUUGGGCAGAGAUUUCUUCAAAUGUCUGAACCAGUAAGGAGCAGGAGCUGCCUAGUGGCAUUGUUUUGUUUAUGACCUGACGUUUUAAUGGUCGCCACGCUUCAGUAUUUUUGCAGAAUCCCCCCACAUCUCUUGCUAAUACAGGUUUGGAUUCAGGUGGUGGACAAAAUAGUUGGAAGAAGACGAGAUAAGCAGCUAACUCAGUUGUAAGAUCGUUUAAAUGGGCCAGUGAGCACCGGGAGUCUGCACAGUGGGGAUAGAAUAUAUUGGAUUUUCCAGCAGUAUUGGACCAUUACACCGUUCCUUGGCACCCACUUUGGGACAUGUUGCUAGAGUUUUCUUUGGAAAAGCUUGACCCAAAUUGCAAAUAUUUUCAAAGCUUUAGCAAUACAUAACCAUCAUUAGAAAAACAAGUAAGAUUGGAGAGAAGGAAAUUUUAAAACCAAGAAAUGAACCAGCCAUAAUUUUGAGGGGGAAAAGAGUGAAUAUAUAGGAUUAGUUCUCCAGCAUGCUUUCUGAGUGUGUGUGUACUUCCAUGGGCAUUACAUCCCUUCACACAUUUCCCUUUUCAUUUCACAGAUUUUUUAAAAGCCUCGUGGGACAUAGCACCGUUGCCGAAUGCCUGUGCUGUUCUCCAUUUCAAGAUGCCUUUGCAGAUUUGAUAAAUGCAAACUAACAACUCUCAAGGCCGUGACAGAAGAGAAACCAUGACUGCUUGAAGCCUGGAGGACUGCCCUUAAUUAAGGAAAA
rnacentral:lncRNA from 1 species